AGCGACAAUCGCCCGGAGAGGGUGUGCCAUUGCCUGACUCGGAGGCAGGGCCACAGAGGUCCCCUGCUUAGCCAAGCCGCUGUGAUCGUUCCCCAGGCAAUGGGGGUGGUCACUGUGACGCAAGUCCCGGCUCAGCACUGUCGCUUGUGACAGACAGGCUGCAUAGCAUGCGGGUGCCCAGUUGGGGACCUGCAACGUUGGCACUGUCCAGCUGCAGCCGCACAGGUCCAGGGUGGAGGCGGUUACAGGUGGCGCCCAGAGAAGGAGGCUGCGUGCCACAAGCAUGGCGGUGCUGACUUCAAUACCUCCUUGAGCCAACUUUCCUCUUCGGGUCAGCUGUAGGAGGAACGCGCUUCAGACCAUGAGCAAUGCGUUUGUUGAGUCCAGCCGUCCCUGGCCUCUAGGAUUGCCAGGGAAUCAGGGCUCUCCAGGACCCAAGGGCUCCAAAGGAGAAGUGGGACACCACCCCCCAUCCAUCACCAAGGUGGUUUCCUUUUGACUUUCUUCAGUUGGAGGCUGAAAUGAAGGGAAAGAAGGAAGAUUGAGGCCAGACCUCCUCACUGCUGGGGGACAGGCUCCUGGGGCAGAACGCUGCAAGCUUCCACCGUGCCUACAUUGAGCUCUGCAUUGAGAACAGCGUCAGGACUGCCUCCAAGUAGCUGCUGCCUGGAUGCAGGUGGCUGGAGAGAACGCCUGGUUGGAGGGAGCCCCCGCUGUGGGCAGGGAGCAGUCGGCCAGCCCCAACUCCAGGACCUGGCUGCCAUGCUUUCCUGUAUAGUUCAUGCUUCAUGUAAUCCUCCAGAAAUAAAAGGAAGCCAAAGAGUGUAUUUUUCUCAAGUUUAAAAUAAUAAUAAUCAUAAUCAUUGUUUAACUAUGAUUGGACAUUUUGGCUUUGAAUGUUUGCCCAAUCAGUUGGUGAACAGAUCCAUCUGACAAGGAUUCGCUUUUAGUAUUCUCUGUGUGGGUAAGUGUCAAACACCUCAUUUGAACUAUUGUUUUAUUUUUCCCAAUGUCCAACUUAUGUUAAGCAGCAUAACACUGAUGCUGUUAAUUCAAC
rnacentral:lncRNA from 13 species